CCAACUUAUUCUAAAAACCAAACCCAUAUGAUUCAAAUACUAAUCCCUAAUCCCUAGCCCAUGUGCCUGGCUCAUCACUUUGCCAAGUUGUCCCUACUUUGCUGCCUCUUCUAGUGCUGUUACCAGGCAACUGAAGCUUCCUUUGCUUUGUUAUGCUGAAGGUUGCCUGCUUUUCUCCUCAAACUCUGCACUUCUUCUGUGUUCUGAUCUACGGCUUUGGAGCUUAAGUGUUAGUAAGCCUCCGAUAUGGCUACCAUGCGGAUUGCCGUACAGUGCUUGGACCAAGCUCUUCUCGAUUGAUGAAGGCUAGUUCUCUGUUUGUAGAACAGGUUAAAGCUAGAGAUGAUAUAGGGAAAGGGGCUCUUCUUUAUGGGUUCUCUGAGAAGCCAGAAUAAAGCAAGGAAACUAAUUGGAGCGCUUCAAAUUAUUGGAUUGUUGGAUCAUAUGGUCGCAACGUAACAUAAAAUUCUUUGAAUUUGAAACUUUGCAAACUUGUUUGAGCUUGCAUUGUUUGGAUGCAAACUUCUUAAUUCAGGACUUUGGAGAAGUGACCAGAAGUGGUGUUUGUUCUUUUUUCAACUACACGGCACUUGAAGAUUUCUUGCAUGCACAUUAGGAACUGCAAAGGCAUGUUAAAGGAAUGGAUCACAAAUGAAAUUUGGGAUGCCGUUAUUGAUACGGUAUGGGAUACCAAAUAAUGGCAAAACAAGUUGAGAAAAGCAAGGAAAAAUUGUUUUAUGAUGAUUUAGUGCUAUGUUUAUAUUUGUUUAACAUUUUUAGAUAGUGUUUUUAUGACGAUUUUUAAUUGUAUGAACUUGAUUUUGAAUUUUA